CAGUGCGCUGUAUUAUCGUAUAUUGCAAUAUGAGAGACGGGACCCAGCUUUGGACGAUCGAGUGCAGCGACACCAAGCGGAAGAUCCAGUCUGCGAAUAAAAAUGGCCACCAUGCAAGAAGAUUUUGGAGAUUUCUUGCCCAAUGAUGAUCGGUCAUGUGCGGCAAAUACCAAGUGUCAGGCAAGAGAGAUCGAUGCAGUUUGUGCAUUAGGUUUCGCUGCCUGGGAUGUGAGGGUGAGGCUUAUAUCAGGUCCUGCCUAAUCUAAACAGUUGGACACAAAGCUUAAGAGAUGCACAAAUGCAGUACUAGGCAGUCAGCCACCCAGUGCCAUCCAACCUUGACUUUGAACCAGUGAGAACUCUUCAGCACGAACCUGGGUAACUGUGUGACAGGGCACAUGUAUUGCAUGUGCAUGGGUUAAACUGCUGGUGAGGUUUAGGGAAUGGGUUAACUCUUUAGUACUCAACCUAGUGACUAUCCUAGGUAGCUAGGUGACAGGGCACAUGUAUUGCAUGUGCAUAGGUUAAACUGCUUGUUGUAUUCAGGGAUGUGUUUCGGCUUAAACCACCUUCAAGUUGCUGUUUCUGUUGUUUUCAAGUUGUUGUGCAUUUUUCCAGAUUCCUAGGAUCAACCAACAAGUGUGA